rnacentral:rRNA from 1 species
AACGAACGCUGGCGGCAUGCCUAACACAUGCAAGUCGAACGAAGCCUUCGGGCUUAGUGGCGCACGGGUGCGUAACGCGUGGGAAUCUGCCCCUUGCUUCGGAAUAACAGUUAGAAAUGACUGCUAAUACCGGAUGAAGUCUUCGGACCAAAGAUUUAUCGGCAAGGGAUGAGCCCGCGUAGGAUUAGGUAGUUGGUGGGGUAAAGGCCUACCAAGCCGACGAUCCUUAGCUGGUCUGAGAGGAUGAUCAGCCACACUGGGACUGAGACACGGCCCAGACUCCUACGGGAGGCAGCAGUGGGGAAUAUUGGACAAUGGACGCAAGUCUGAUCCAGCAAUGUCGCGUGAGUGAUGAAGGCCUUAGGGUUGUAAAGCUCUUUUACCAGGGAUGAUAAUGACAGUACCUGGAGAAUAAGCUCCGGCUAACUCCGUG